GGGAAUGUGGCUUAGCGGUAGAGUGCUUGCCUAGCAUGCAUGAGACCCUGGGUUCUAUUCCCCAGUAUCA
rnacentral:tRNA from 1 species